ensembl:lncRNA
GGAGCCCUUUUAGUGUGCUUUUUAUUCUGACAAGAUUAAUAAUUAUCCUAUAAGCAUGACGCGGUUUUAAAAUGUUGUUUCUAGUAUGAGUUAGCAUUGUGCAUGUGGGUAUAGAUGUAGAAAGAAAAGUUAUUUCACAGCAGAGGAACGUAUAUUUAAACAAAGAGUGGUAAAAUGAUAAAACUGUUUUAAAAAAAGGAAAACAUUUUUUCUUCCCAUCACCAUUAUUUUGAAUCUAAAGGAUCUAUAGCGAGUUUCAGAAGGGAACUGGGCGUUUGUAACCAAAACAGGAGCUACUGAAACGAGCUGGAAGCAAUUUGGGGAGGUGUAUCAAACGCCCCAGAGCUUUGGGCAAAGUGGCGAGAAAGAGAUCUGCCACCUGGAGGGUGACAGGCAUGUUCCCUCCCCCCCCCAGCCACCAACUUUUGCCCUAUCCUGUGACACCUGCGACUAGCUCCUGCUGGGAAGCAGGCUACAGACUUCCCAGGUUUUGCUGUCCUUCAGCAAGACGGUUCCUAGGUGUUUAUAGCCCUCAUGACAGCCGUAGCACUUGCCAGAAGGUGUCAUUUCCCUCUUCGCUAAGCUCAUACACAUCCAGUGCUUUCCACUGGUGCAAACACACUUUUUUUUUUUUUUUGCCUUAGCUGUUCAAAAUGCUCAGUCAUAUGUACCCUACGUAUCGUAUGGAUCAACUCACAUUAGUGGCCUGGUUCACUGAAGGGAGGGUAUGAACUGCAGGUUUCUUAGGCAUAAGCGCAAAGUUGGUGCGGCCCUCAGAGCCGAGCCCAGCAGAACUCCCAUUUGAGGUCCCAGCCAUACAACAACAACCCUUUCACUUCUAUUAGGGUCCAAAGGAGUCACACCAGGGAGAAGACCGUGGGCCAGACCCUGCUCUUUUUUCAGUGAGGCCCAACUCCAGGUGUCUUCAGAAAAACGGGGCAGGCUGAAUCUCCUUUGGCUCAGAGCAGGGCAGAGAUCUGGUGUUAAGGAAAGGACCGAGGGCUGCACCAUCUUCCCACUAAAGCCAGUGGCAAAGCAGGCAGCAGCACCUCCAUCUCCCCUGAACUGAAGCGCAGGAUUCAUCCCUGCUUCCCUCUCCCUAACUCCUCUUGCAGGAGUAAUUUUGAGGUAACACAAUGCCAAGCACCACAGGGCUCACUUCUACAACAUCAGGCUGAGCACUACAAACUCCCAUUCUACAUUUGAAGUGUUACUGCAUUACUUGACUUCAUACUUUCUAUAAAUGUCCCGUUGUGGUAUGUCUUCGCUACGUAUAAAAGCACAGGUAGGUAUUAUGGGCUGUAUCACUUCGUUUUGUCUCAUUCAUCAGCUACUUUAAAAUAUUUUCUUCGCAGUGCAGUAGAAAAGAAAGCAAACGGUUUUGUUGUUGGUUUUUUUUUUAAUCAUUUCCCAAGUUAGAUUUAUAUGCCAUAAUGACUGUUGUAUUCCACGUGCAGAACGGCAAAACAGGCUUACAUACCUGACCUCACUUCUUCGGUGAACUGCCUCAUUUGUGAAAUGGCACAUAGAAAUCUGGAAUCUCAAACGAAUCACUUGUUUUUUCUUGCCGUGAAACCUUACUUAAGUUCACAGCAAUUUUAAAUAUGAGACGUUUAAAAUAUUAAUAUUUCCCAUAUAUUAUUCACCCACUUUCAGGUUUCAUCUCAAGUUAGAGGCACUUCGUAUUUCAAAGGCAGAACUGCUUCUCUCUUUUUUUUUUUUUUCAGCACUAAUGUUCUAUUAAUUCACUUUGUAAUAUCACUCCAGUUCAUACAAAUAAAAUUGCACUAAAUUGCUGAUGCCAAGAAUCAUGCUGAAGUUGUUGGCGUUAUAAAAAAUUCCACUCUCCAUUAUUAUUUUAUAAGAUUUUCUGUAAUCUCUGCAUCGUCUUUUUAGGUAUGAUUCAAAGCCCUGCGUAGUGAGUGCCACGAGGACAAAUAUGCACGCACAAUUAUCUCCGUGCUGAGAGAUGGGGCUGAAUGUAGGUAUGUAUAUACAGUGAAGUCUGUGACUUCAGUGACUUCUGUAAGGAGGUGAAGGCAAGCUCCCAGCGAACUAACAGCCUCCACAGAUGAUCCUUUAUGAACGUUUUGCAUUCGGUGUACUUUCCCUUAAGGCAGCGUGAUGUAUCCCAUCACACACGUGUAUACGUGUGUGUGUGUGUGCAGAGACACUGGGAAUGUCUUAUGUGCAUAUUACACAACAUAUGCCAUUCGUGUAAUCACUUUAGAUAUAUAAAUAAAAUUCGUUUUAUAUACAUAAAUAAAAUAUGUGAAGGUAUUCCUUAAAGGAGCCAUAAAGGCCCACGUGUAGGUGGAUUCUUCAUCACAUCCAAAGAACUGAAAGACCGGGGAUAUAAAGCGGAAUCUUUUUAUAUGAGCGUGUAUCUCUUAUAAUCUCUCCAUAAAAUCCACAUGGCUGCAUAACCACUUCCAGAGAUGCGGAUGGAAGUUAUACCUGGACAGCCCGAAAGCCUUUAAUAAGUAAAGCAGCAUAUAAUCCUAUGAAAUGCCUUUCAGGAGUGAAAUAAUUACAAAGCGCUGGAGCAAGAGCAGCAAACAGCAGGAAAAUCACCUGUGAAUAGAUGUGAGAAACUGGAAGUGUACUCCAGUGUUUGUGUGGUCAUCAAAAUCAAACGUUCAGGAGCUGGAAAUCCAACUGCCGGGAGGGCAGACUGAUACAUUUAUAGGCACGUAUAGCCCGUGCCUUAAACUUUGAGUCUGCAACGUUGUUAGUGAGGUAUCCUCCUUUAUAAUGCUUGGCAUUUGUUCCCUUGGCAUUUAAAGAAGAUGGGCUGUUUUAAUUACAAUUUGAGCGAAUUCUUUAAAAGAAAAAAAAAACCAAACUGCAAAAUGACUGAUGCAAAUCCCGGCCACUCGUGAGCACAAUGAAAUUCUACUGAGCAGAGAGGACACCGGGAGAGGCUCCCGAUCAGCUGCAGCAGAGAAUGCCCUGCGCUACGCAGCCCUCAGACGCCGGGAUUCUGAAAUACGAAUUAGACCUCAAAUGCAAAUCAACCUCCGAAGGGGGAGAAGGAAAAAAAAAAUAAUAAAAAAAAAAAAUCAGAGAGACAUACCGAGUCAAACGCUCCUUUUUCUGCCUAUCUCGUCCCCAGUGUUAAAACAGGCAAAACAAAACAAGUGCACAUCAAGAUAGAGCCAAUUAAGGGGAAGGCAGCUCGGAGGGCGGGUGGGAGGCAGCCACCUCGCCGAGCACAUGGGGAGCGGGAGCGCAUCGCCCCACCUCGAGCCGUCCCUGAGCCUUCCGAGCUCUCCCAGGAGGACAACGGGGCCCAGCAUUCGGUCAGGCUGCUCUGAGUGGGGAUCGCAGGUGCCAUCAUGGAGGCCCACGGGCGGACGGCGCCGUCCAACCUCCCGCAGCCACGAGCACAGCGGAUCCGGCACGGGAGAGUUCGGGCAGCGCGGAGCGGUGCGCUUCGGCCAAGGGUGGCACCGGGAUCCCAGCGCAGUGCCGCACUCCGCGCGGCCGGGCUUUACGCACAGCGCAGUACGCGGGAGGUGUCUUUACGUUUAACGUUUUAAUUUGGACAUGCUAAUUAGGCUGUGGGUCUCCACGGUUCUAUCGGCGGAUAGCUGAUCGCUUCCCUCUGCGAGGAAGUGACUGCUAAAUACAUUUCCCGGCCCCGAUCUCCGUUCCCAGAAGCCCGUCUAGCAGAACCGUCCCGUCGGGCGAAACGGACCUUUAAUAAUGGAAGGCCGAGGGAGGUUCUGCGCAGCGGCGCACCGCCUCGGGCACGGCCCCAACGCGGCCCUCUGCAGCGGAGCCAUCGAAAUAACUCCGUGCCCAGCGAACUUGUUGCUCGCUUUCAGCUCCUCCGCUCACCCCGGCUCGGGUCGGUGCCAGGCGAGGGGCAGAGGCAGCCUGGGGGAGAAGCCGCCGCUGUCGGGGUGAGAAACUUCCCGGGCUCCAAAGCCGCCCGCUCUGGGCGUCGAGGGGCAGCGGCCGCUCCGCUGCUGGGAACUGCGCCCUGGCCAUGUGUUUUUCCCGUGUGGAACGUUGCUCGCAAGUGCGGGAGGUGGAAAGUUUUGUUCACGUCAUUAUCUCAAAGCUUUCCCCGCGCGGUCAGUGGACGCAGAGGCUUCACUCCGUUUUCCGAAUGAAAACCCACGGACGCUUGAUGUGAAAAGUGCAUGCUCCCGUGGGCCGUGCUUUCCCCGAUUACUUUCUUUUUUCUUUUUCUUUUUUUCUUUCACUUUCUUGGCUCCGUCCCGCCAGGAUCUCUACGUUUACGGGCUGUACGGUUUCCAGGGCUCCAAUGGGGCUUUCCCUGAUGGAGGCGAGGAACAGAACUUUCCCACUCGCUCGGAAACUGCCGAGGAUCCGGCGGGGGGAGCACACAAAGAGGCCCCAAAUCCCCCCCGGGGCUCAGGGACAUCCCCUGCAGGUGCAGGACCAAAGCUGCAGGGAUGGCCCAAAGCGGUGCAUGUGUCGCUCUCGUCCCCUAUUAUGAGCGCUACGGGAGUGAAACGGGGGGUGGGGAGCGGGUUCUUGGGACAGCGGUUCUUGAGCCCACGCACGUUGGUGAAGGGAAACGCGGGGCCGUGCGCGCCGUCGGGCUGAGCCAGGGUUAAUGCCUGCGGGCCCAGACACGCUGUGCUCCGGGG